UAUAAUCAACUUGAGACUUUUAGUAUAUUAUCUACACGAGGUGAUAGUAGUCACGAGAAUAUUAAUCAUGCCAUAGAUAAUAUAAGAGGAAGCACUCUUAGCCCUUGUUUGAGCCCCAUUCUUGUGCAAAAAUGCAUUUUUCGAAAAACUAUUUUAACAUCAUUUCAACCAUUCAUUCUUCAAUUAAAUAAUAUUACACACAAAUCUAAAAAAUUUUCUUAUUUUUUAACCACAUAUUUCCCAUCAAUACACUGUUCAAAAAUCCAUUCUCUUCCCCAAAAAUGGGGUUCAAAAAACUAUCUAAGAUUGAUUUCCCACGGUUUAGGGUAGAUGGACCUAGGGAAUGGUUGAGGAAAGCCUGGAAGUAUUUCCAACUUCAUCAAGUCCCUGAUGAACUGAAGGUAGGAUUGCAGAUAUGUACUUAAAGGAGAAAGCAAACAUAUGGUUUGAUUGCUUCUUUGCAAGCCAUCCUUAUACAGAUUGGGGCUUAUUCUCUGAGGUGACCUGCAGAAGGUUUUCAUUCACCAUUGGGAGAGGAAAUGAUUGAAUCAUUUAGCAAGAUUAAACAAUUGGGCUCAAUGACUUAACACUAACAGAGUCAAACUACAUAUUUGUUUUUACCAGUGGAUUAAAAGGACAGAUAAGAUCCAUGGUCAUAAUGAUGAAACCAAAUACCUUAUCCAAGGCCUUUGAAAUUACCUGCCUUCAAGAAUCAACCAUCCUAACCACUAACAGAUUCCAAAAACCUAAAAACUUCUCACCAAACCAUAACAAAUGGAGUUUCCAUCCUUCAAAAGCUCCUAAUGAAACAAAACCCAAUGAACCAUAGCCCAAAGUCAAUAAAUCAACAAACAAUUACAAGACCAUCACACCUACUGAAUUCUAAACCAAAAGAAAUAUGGGGCUUUGUCAUAAAUUUGAUGAGAAAUAUACCACAGGACAUAUCUGAAAAAAAUAGGUCCCUGAAUUUUAGUUCAUAGAUGAAGAUGAGAAGAGUGGGCCAGAGGAGGACAAAAAAUCUGAAUCAGAAGAUGGACGAGAGGGUAAUGAGAUAAUGGAGAUCUCUAUUAGUGCCUCGGCUAGAAGUUUAAAGCAUAAGACAAUAAGAGUCCUUGGAAAAAUCAAGGGAAGGAAGAUCUCUAUCUUGGUAUAUAGUGGGAGUACUCACAGCUUUAUAGAUGAGAGGCCGGUUAGAGAACUUAAUUACGAAACUAGAACCAUGAUAGUUAGAAUGACCAAUGGCGACAAACUGGAUGGUAAAGCUGUAUACCAACCAAUGAUAU
rnacentral:lncRNA from 1 species